AUUGAACGCUGGCGGCAGGCCUAACACAUGCAAGUCGAACGAGUGGCGGACGGGUGAGUAAUGUCUGGGAAACUGCCUGAUGGAGGGGGAUAACUACUGGAAACGGUAGCUAAUACCGCAUACAAUCAGAGGUGCCCAGAUGGGCUUAGCUUGUGGGUGGGGUAACGCCUCACCAAGGCGACGAUCCCUCGCUGGUCUAAGAGGAGGACCUGCCCCACUGUAACUGAGACACGGUCCAGACUCCUACGGUAGGCAGCAGUGGGGAAUAUUGCACAAUGGGCGCAAGCCUGAUGCAGCCAUGCCGCGUGUAUGAAGAAGGCCUCCGGGUUGUAAAGUACUUUCAGCGGGGAGGCGUUACCCGCAGAAGAAGCACCGGCUAACUCCGUGCCAGCCGCCGCGGUAAUAC
rnacentral:rRNA from 1 species